CUCAGACGGCCCUAAAGGUGAUUCCGAGUCCAGUGCUGCACAAUGGGCAUCAUCUACGUUCAGCAUCUCCACACUCUGCAUGGAGGUGCUGAAUGUUCCCCAUAGAGAUGCAUUGAUUCAAUGCAUCUCUAUGAAGAGAUGCUGAAUGGCGCAGUGCAGUGUUUUGUCGAGCGUGCACAAUAGCCUUCCAAUGCCUUCCUAUAGGAAAGCAUUGAACUGGCUGAUAUCAAUACUGACACAUUCACA